CCUACGUGUGGCAGCAGUCGAGAAUCAUUCACAAUGGGGGAAACCCUGCUGGUGCGACGCCGCGUGGGGGAAUGAAGUUCUUCGGAUUGUAAACCCCUGUCAUGUGGGAGCAAAUUAAAAAGAUAGUACCACAAGAGGAAGAGACGGCUAACUCUGUGCCAGCAGCCGCGGUAAUACAGAGGUCUCAAGCUUUGUUCGGAAUCACUGGGCGUCAAGCGUGCGUAGGCUGUUUCGUAAGUCGUGUGUGAAAGGCGCGGGCUCAACCCGCGGACGGCCCAUGAUACUGCGAGACUAGAGUAAUGGAGGGGGAACCGGAAUGCUCGGUGUAGCAGUGAAAUGCGUAGAUAUCGAGAGGAACACUCGUGGCGAAGGCGGGUUCCUGGACAUUAACUGACGCUGAGGCACGAAGGCCAGGGGAGCGAAAGGGAUUAGAUACCCCUGUAGUC
rnacentral:rRNA from 1 species